UACGGAGGGUGCAAGCGUUAUCCGGAUUCACUGGGUUUAAAGGGUGCGUAGGCGGGCAGGUAAGUCCGUGGUGAAAUCUCUGAGCUUAACUCAGAAACUGCCAUGGAUACUAUUUGUCUUGAAUAUUGUGGAGGUAAGCGGAAUAUGUCAUGUAGCGGUGAAAUGCUUAGAUAUGACAUAGAACACCGAUUGCGAAGGCAGUUCACUAUGCUUGUAUUGACACUGAGGCACGAAAGCGUGGGGAUCAAACAGG
rnacentral:rRNA from 1 species